rnacentral:rRNA from 1 species
GACGAACGCUGGCGGCGUGCUUAACACAUGCAAGUCGAACGAUGAAGCCGGAGCUUGCUCUGGUGAAUUAGUGGCGAACGGGUGAGUAACACGUGAGUAACCUGCCCUUGACUCUGGGAUAACUGCUAGAAAUGGUAGCUAAUACCGGAUACGACCCUCGGAGGCAUCUUCAGGGGGUGGAAAGAAUUUCGGUCAAGGAUGGACUCGCGGCCUAUCGGCUAGUUGGUGAGGUAACGGCUCACCAAGGCGACGACGGGUAGCCGGCCUGAGAGGGGGACCGGGCACACAGGGACUGGGACACGGCCCAGACUCCUACGGGAGGCAGCGGUGGGGAAUAUUGCACACUGGGCGCAAGCCUGAUGCAGCAACGCCGCGUGAGGGAUGACGGCCUUCGGGUUGUAAACCUCUUUUAGUAGGGAAGAAGCGAAAGUGACGGUACCUGCAGAAAAAGCACCGGCUAACUACGUGCCAGCCGCCGCAGUAA